CACGAUCAAAAACAUAAUUUAAAUAUUAAAAUUAUCACAAUCAAAAACAUAUUUUUAAGGUGUAACUAUACCAUCUGUAAUUUCCUCAACGACCAUUAAAAAAAAAAAAAAGGCUUUGCUCUCCCGGGCGUAAUCAUAGUGUUGGGGCUUAGGGUUUCACCUGACCGUCUUUCUCUCACCAGUGUUGUCGAUCUCUCUGCGUCGUUUACCGUCUUUCUUGCGGUUCGAUUUAGGGAAGGCCUGGGCGAUGGGGGAGGACGGGUCGCAUUAAAGCUCUUGGCGUGAGGGAAGAACCAGUGGAAGCCUGCAAGAGCUUGGGGUGGAAGUUCCCUACGGAGAUCCAAGUCGAGGCGAUUCCCUAUUCCCCUAAGUUAGCUGGUUCACUGUGGCUUUCUUUUCUCUAACUCAAGCCCUUUAUUGGUUUUGGCUUUGUUGAAAUCUGUUCCGCUGCACAGAAAAUUGCGAGUCUUGAUAGUUUCUUUGUUCAAGGAACUUUUUUCACCUGAUUUCUCUCUUCGUUAUGAUCUGCAGGACCUUCAAAUGUCUCAAUUUUGUUUGUCAGAUGAAUGAAUGGGAGAUUCAUACGGAUAACUGAAAGGACUUUAUGCUGGUUGGUAGGGAAAGAUUUUUUCCGACCGGCACAAACAGGUUUAGGGAAGAUAUAGGAUCUUUUGAGCCUAAGAAUCUUCCAAUUGAUCUUUAUCUACAAGUCCUUUGUAAUUUAAGUUUCUUGAUUGAGUUUGCUAGAGCUGAUCUAUUAUCUACAUAAAUGUUAAUUAUUAAACUAUUUAAAGAAAAUUGUAGGUAUGUUUAUUUGUAACAAAUCAAUAACUUUUUAGUAGCCCUUAAUGUCCCUCGUCUUUAAACCCAAGGAUUAAAAUUUCGUACCGUACUAGAAUUUUGAGCUUCGUUCGGUACAGCAUAGUAUUGUGUACCGAGUAGUACGCUAGGACAUACUAAGUGAUACACCUAAUUUAGGCGUAAAAUCCUUCGAAAAUAUCUAAAAAUAAAAAAAAUUAUGAUAAGAUUUUUAAGUUAGAAAUAAAUAUAGUAAUAGUAUAAGUUUAGUAAAACAAAUGUAAAUUAGGUAAGAAUAGUAUCACAUAUCUUUUUCGGACUUUGAGUAAUAGCCUUGUGCAAGGUUCGUAUUUCGUUCCGUUACAGAUUGCUCUUAUGUAAAUAUUGAAAUAUCUAUAGAAAAUUUAUUUGAAUUGUCAAUUAACAAAUCGUUACUUUGUAGAGUUUAAGAGAGUGUAAAUGUGAGAAAAAAUAAGUUUGAGGUAGUUUAAGAGAGUGUGAGAGUGAAAUAGAGUGUAAUAGGAGAGAAGAUGAGUUUAAAAACCUAUGAGAAAGGGUUCUAACGGUCAUUUUGACUAUUGGAGCAUUGUUACAGAUCGGUAACGAUCAAAAUCGACUAUUACCGUCCAAUAUACCCCCAUAUCAUCCGAUACGGGACGAUAUUGAGUGUUCCGCUUGGUAUCGGGCCGUCCGCAUAUCGGUAUGCUAUCGGACCGGUACGUACCACCCGUCAAAAUUAAAAACCCUACUUAAGCCUUUUUUUUUCCUAUUAAUACUUUUUUAUUUUGUUUUUUCACCCUGCUAGGUGGUUUGUUCGAGCACAUUGUUUUGAGUAACAUCAUAUCAUCAUAAUAUGGCCUUUAUGAUGAUGAUUUUGGAGGAACUUAUUGGACUAGCAAUUUUGGUCUUAUUUAUCUUGUGCUUAUGUGAACUAACUUGGUCUCAAGUAAAUUCCUUGGCCUGUAAGCCAAUAGUUCAUGCCAUGCUGAUGCCCUCUCUAAGAGUUGCCCUUAAGAUAUAUAUUCUGCCCAAAUUUGGAUUAUUUUAUAAGGCGCUUGGUUAAUUUCUCAUAUAAAACCACAAACAAAGUUGAGUUACUCAUUUAGAGGAGAAUUUAGAUUAUAAAGAUUUAGUAUAUUUGAGCCUCUUAUACUAUUGAUUUUAAAAGUCUAUAUUUUGGAUGAUAUGCUACAAUCGGGUAGGUGCUUUUGUUGAGAUCUUUGUCCAGGUUAUAUGCAUCUGCUAUAUCUGCAAACAAUAUGCAGCUUGGACAUUAUCUUUUUAGUAAUGUUUGUUACCUAUAUGGCAUAAAAACUAUUUUCAAAAUGUAAUUUUAAGUUAAAGAUUAUUAGGAGCAAAGAUUUUGCCUUGAAAUAUUUAUUGGUCUCAUGUUUGUUUAUUGGGCCAUUGUUUGGUACUUCUCAUAAUUUAAUUGGCGAAGAAUAUUUUUGUGCUUUAAAUAAUUCUUUAUUUUCUAAGCAACUAUUUUAGAGAAAACUUCUCAGCCUUGGACUAAUCUGGUGGUUUUUUCACUCAAAUAGUGUCAUAAUCUGAACUGAGUGAUGUAACGUAGGAUUAUGUUCAUUGACCGGGCAGAAUUGCAUGUAUUGACAAUCUGGGCUAGUGAAUCAGCACCAGGUGGAUGUUAUGUACAGAGAGUAUUUCAUCGGUUGGCACCACUACCUUGGCAUGAGCUAUCGCAUGUGUGACUUGUGAAAGCAUUGAUAUAACUACAACACCUUUAUUUUGCAGGAAGAAAACUACCAGGGUACUGUAGUCAGUGAAUGAAACUGAAGUGGGACAUGGAUUGGAUGCCAAGAUGAUUGCUCUGAUGAAAAUCAAGGAAAGCAAUAGCAGCAAAAAAGAGGAAAAAUGUAGAAGACGAAGAAGUUGAGUAUGGUGUGAUCCUUAAGAGGGUAAAAGGACCAAGAGAUUGAAAUGGCAAUAACAUGCAGAAGCUGAGGAGCAUGAUACAAAGAAAAAGAUGAGCUGAUCAAAGAGCUUGACCAUUUUUUUUUUUUUUUGUGUUAAUUUUCUUUUCAAAGCUGGUCUUAUGAUUCUGAUGACCAUAUCUACUGAAGUUUUUAAUGUUUAAUCUUUCCAAAGAGAACCUUGUAUACGUUUAACUGUAUAUGGAGCAGUGAUUAUUUUGGGAUCGA